UUGGUUUGGACUCGGAACCCCAUUGACGACAGGCGGUGGUGACACAUACUGUGUCCUGUUGUAACUUGCAACUUCCCGGUUAGGUUUUUUUGUGGAUUGGAAAUACUCCACGACAGUGGAUUGGAUGGCGAGCUACCCAACAGCCCACACAUCAAUGUGGUAGGACUCAUAGAACUCAUUUUGGUUUGUGGAUUGAGUUGGAUUCACGUGGACUGUGAAAAACUCAACCUCAAGACAACUUGAGGAAACAGGAUUCUCUGGACUGUUUUUUGUUUGUUUGUUUGUUUGGUUCUUGUGGUUGUCGUUAUUAACUAUACCUGAUUAUUUAUAGCAAAUAUUAACAUAAUGAAUACAUAUAUAAAUGUAUAACAUGGGUUGUGUGUUUUUUUGUUCUGAAAUAUUCUAUAUAUCUAUAAAUAUACACAUUGCUUGGAUC